CAAUCUUGUAAAUCAGUAAUAAGUUGCACCUGAACCUGUAAGUGAUUAGUAAAAAAUCAUUACGCUUCCAUGGCCAGAGGACUUUCACACAGUUAAUCAGUUAAGAAGAGAACUGGGUGUUAACGGGUUGUUUAAUUCCCUGGUAGACCAGUUUAUUGAGACCCCCAUAACAAGAGGACUGAAAUCAGAAGUGCAAACAAUGUAUGGGAGAAUUAUCUUGCCUACAAAUGGCGUUCUGGCCCGGAGAAACAGGCACCAACUGGUGCGCUAAGCGUCUUAACUUUGCAAGCGUCCCUGCCGAAGGGCUUGUGGAUUCUUGCAGGAUCUGGUCCUCCCCAGCAAACCAGGUUUCCUUCAAACGUGUCUGAACUGAGUUUUGAAGCUGGUUCUCAGGAGAAAACAGCCAGCAGAAAACCACUGUCCAAGGGAACAGGAGAGAUGCGCAAAUGGCCUAUGAACAACUGCGAGAUAGACCAAGCCUUCCUAUGCAACAGGCAUGCAAAUGACCUUCUGCUUGCAAUUACUCUGCUUUCACAAACAACUUCGGAACAGCGAGCACGAAGAAGGCAUAUGUUUCUUAUGUGCCUUAUUUUAAAGAGGAUUUGGGGCAGUAGGCAUAGUGUUCCUAGUGCAAAACCCCGAGCAUGGGAACAUAUGAAAUCACUUUUGCAUACAGAUUAUUUUUCUAUCACAAUUCCACGUCCUUCAGCAAACGCAUGCUUGGGAGCAGGUUCUUCCCCUCUGCAUUAGGCACUGAUAGCUGAGCGCUGUUUUCAGAGCACUGCUCUCAGGAACUGCCUCUGCAGGUGAUGGAAAGGGAGAGGGUAGGGAGGUCUGCAGGUCUUGGUAAUAGGAGCCCAUGACAACAGGGCAAGUAACUUUGGGGCUCCAGUUACAUGCCCCAAGUUCACUGGAAAGAAGCCAGACCAUUAAGUAUUUAAGUGGUUAUUGACAGAGUGUUACAAUUCACAUAAAACAAUGUCAAGGAGGUGCCACAUACAAGAUGCUGCGUGUUGGCCCACAUCCAUCUGUUAGCUUUUAUUUUGCUCUUUGACUGUAAGCCCUUUGAGGCAGCAACUGUUUGUUGUUGGGUUGGUUUUUUAUCUUAGGAGUCAAUACAGCAUCUGUCACAAUGAGAGCUCAGCCAUGAGGGGUUUUCUACUGUACCAAAAUACGAUGAUAAAAAUAAUCCUAUGGGGCGUACAGACAGAUUAGAGGCUGUGAUGAGGUGAGAGGGAGAGCUCAUUGUAAGAGAUACCUGUAACUACAAAAGGAGUGCAAAGUUUCUGGGGAGCAGACAGUGUAACUGCCUUUGCAUCUCACCUCAGAAGGACGGGAAGCUCUGACAGUAAAUGGCCUGACAACAUAACAAAAAUGUAUGUGCAUCAUCUGUGGAUUUAAAACUUUCAGUUUGAGUCAAGGACACAAACAAUAAAACUUGUGUUCUCAAUAUGAAGAGAAAAGAGAAGGGGGGAUAUAAAUUACCAGAAAGAGAGCGGAGCUCCUCCAUGCCCAAUAGCUGCUGAGGUGACUGGCUUUAGCUGAAGUGCAGCCAGAGCUAUGGAGGCUGGGCAAUUUCCAACCUCACCACAACAGCAAUAACCUACAUUUGUUCAGACAUUAGCCCUCAAUUAUUUGCAGACCUCCCAUCCCAAGUCUAGAUCAAGCCAUAGGAACAACCACCCAAAGAGACUGCCCCGGGGAAUCCUUUCCCGGACGUAAUGAGCCGUCCC